CCUACGGGAGGCAGCAGUGGGGAAUAUUGCACAAUGGGGGAAACCCUGAUGCAGCGACGCCGCGUGAGUGAAGACGUAUCUCGGUACGUAAAGCUCUAUCAGUAGGGAAGAAAAUGACGGUACCUGACUAAGAAGCCCCGGCUAACUACGUGCCAGCAGCCGCGGUAGUACGUAGGGGGCAAGCGUUAUCCGGAUUUACUGGGUGUAAAGGGAGCGUAGACGGCAGCACAAGUCAGAAGUGAAAUCCCGGGGCUUAACCCCGGAACCGGUUUGGAGACUGCGCGGCUGGAGUGCAGGAGGGGUAAGCGGAAUGCCUGGUGUAGCGGUGAAAUGCGUAGAGAUUAGAAGGAACACCGGUGGCGAAGGCAGCUUACUGGGCUAUAACUGACGUUGAGGCUCGAAAGCGUGGGGAGCAAACAGGAUUAGAUACCCCUGUAGUC
rnacentral:rRNA from 1 species